rnacentral:lncRNA from 1 species
CUGGAACAGACAAACAGACAGGGUCAUUUCCAUAUAAACAAAUUUUUGUUUGCAGGUCUUAUGGUGACAAAACGUUGCACACAUGAUAAUGCUAUGACUACCCCACACUUGUAAAAUUCAAAGUAUUGACUACAGGAAGAAGGUAUUGGACAGACCCAAAAAGUAACUACACGUUUCAACUUAUCACUGUCAGGGUGUUGAUUGGCCAAUUAUGAAUAAUGAAGUCAUUAAUUCUGCCAAGUAUUUUCUGUAAGAAAAAAUAUUCGACCUUAAAUGUUACAAGUACCAGCAAUUAGGAAGUAG